rnacentral:lncRNA from 1 species
GUUUUGGAGUGCAGGCGUGAAUAGUCCUUUCUGUCCUGCUUUGAGUACUGCUGUUGGGUGCCUUGGGGGGACCUUAAGGGAGCUCGGAAGUUGAGACGUGGUGAGUGCGAGAUCACUGCCCACAAAGGGGAGGAGCAGGCGGAUGAACAGCCAGAGCUGCAAUGGUGGAUCCUCCUCCAGGGCUGCAUGGGACGACAGAUAGAUGAGGCUCUAGGACGGGCACAAAUGCUACCCGAAUGCAAACCACUCCGGAGAUCUGUAAAAGGACUGGCCCCGGACAGGAAGCACACUUUAAACUAGAGGCGGGGUAAGACUCGUGGGCCAAUCAAGGCUUCCGAACAGAACUGCCAUUCUGGCAAUGAGGCGGGGUCUUCCGGUUGCCUGCUGGAAGUUUGUUUUUGCUCUGCAGGAUUGAAGGGUUCUCCCUAUGCUGCUUUGAGCGCUGCUAUUGGGUGCCUUGAGGGGACCUCAAGUAAGCUCCAUUUUUGAAACAUGAGUCAAAGCCCCGGUGAAGAUUCUGUGACGGUUCAUUGUAUAAUUUAUGAUGAUGAAGAUUGAGUUGCAUUUUGCGGAAAAGAGAUGUUGAGAUAUCUAAGGCAUUGAGAAAUCUGUCAUGCAGACAUGCACACAGGGAGAGGGAGUACCCAAACUGAUGAGAACUUACAGGAAUUGGACCAUCUAAGCCCUUAGAAAGUGAAGUCCACUGUGUCUCAAACAAAGAUCUUCAUCCACAUCUUGAAGUUUGAAGUUUGGCCAAGAAUAUACAAAAUAGAUUCUCUUUCUCAGGAUGGCAAGUGUUCAUGACAUCAAUACUACCCAAGGCUUCAGAGUCAUUGGAUUGCAGGUGUCUCUAUGGUUUCAAUUCAGCACUAUUCCAUCCAUCUUUUGGCAGAGUCAGAGCCCCGGUGAAGAUUCUGUGAGAGUUCAUUGUAUUGAAUUUAUGAUGAUGAAGAUUGAGUUGCAUUUUGCGGAAAAGAGAUGUUGAGAUACCUAAGGCAUUGAGAAAUCUGUCAUGCAGACAUGCACACAGGGAGAGGGAGUACCCAAAAUGAUGAGAAGUUACAGGAAUUGGACCAUCUAAGCCCUUAGAAAGUGAAGUCCACUGUGUCUCAAACAAAG